UCUCCAGGACGUCCCUUCACGAAAAAAAAAAGAGAUUAUUUUCCACUUUUCAAUCUGUGGUUUAAAUAAACAGAUGUUGUGUGUGUGGUGUUUUCCACCCCCCGUUUCCUCCCACACACCCUCAAUACCUUCGAUUUUGAAAAGCCCAUGAAUGAACCUGAUUAAUGACAAUGAAAUGUCUUUUAACUCCAGCGUGGUUUUAAUUACCUCUUUAUUUCCUAUUGCAACAGAGUCCAAGCAGCACCUUCCUAGAAAGAGUUCCAUUAAGAUGCAAAUGAAGGCUCUGCAGAAACUGUCUCGCAAUGCAAUGCAACGAAGGACUCCGUUUCUUACACUUAAGCAACACGGUGCCAGGGGGGUGUCCCGCUGCCUCCUGCUCCUCCUGCACAUGCAAUCCUCUGCCUUCACCUCCCCAUGCGUGUGGUUGCCGGUCCCUGUCACCUGCAGGUGAAAAGCACCGGAGCUGAACAGCCAGAAUCUCUUUUCCCACCCUCAAUGCCCAAGUGUUUCACGUGAAGCUCUUCCCCCCGGCGCCUGCAGGUGCUAAAUCCUUCUGUUGUGUAAAGGCUGCAAGUGCUCCGCCUGUCCUCAGAAGAGAGGUGGUUUCUCCUCAGAAAGAAGGAAAGAACAUGCAUGGGGUAAAAAGAACAGGAAAAAAAAGAAGAGCUGGAGGAGAAAUCAGGCUUGUUCAUGAGCUUUUUGGUGUGCAAAGUGUCAUGAACGGCGUGAACAAAGGAGAGGUCAAGAGCACAGAUGCACCUCUGUGAGAUUAAAGACUGUUUCUGGCUCAAAUCAAUGUCCUCUGCACACCACCAUGUCACAGGUUUCAUUGAGGAGGAGACCACUGGAGGUCUGGGCUUUAAUUGUGUUUGGCUAUUGGGAAAACAGGGAAAUUCCAUAAUCCUGUAGCACAGGAGUGGUUGGAAUCACCCUGUGGUGGGGUGAGGUAGAAACGGGCUGGAGACAGUAGAGGAAAGCUGCCUCCAUACCACAUCCCAUCUGAAAAUCAUCAGGAUGCCGAAGUGUUCUCAUCCCAGCUCCCCUCUUCAGCUCUGCUCCACCUUGCAUUCGUCUUGCUUGUAGGAGAUGUUAUAUCUGGUAAAAUAAAAUGAUUUCUUGUGUGUC